ACUAUUCAGAUUGUAAUAUUCAGAUGUUAAUGUUUCACUGUUCAUUUUUAAAAUAUUAUUAAAAUUUUUAAUGUUCACUGUUCAGAUGUUAUUAUGCUUUAAUACGCUUAAUUAGUCUUGUCUCUCCCUUUUUGUCAACAUCAAAAAGAAUAUUCACAAGAUGACACAAUAGUACACAAAAAGAUAAAGAAAAGUAAAUAUUCAGUAACUUGUAUGUAUUGUUUACAAAAAGAUGUCACUCAAACAAUACAAUAUAAUGUUUAUCACAAAAAGAGGUCAUAACACAAAACAUAGUCUAAAACAAAAAUAAGAUAAAAACUAAAACUAAUCCUCAUCAGAAGAAAAUUCUAUGACUGGUUCAGUGGAUAAGGAGGAAGGAGCUGGUUUCUUGCUCCUGGUUCUAGCGAAAGGUCCAGGGUGAAUGGGGAGAAAACUAGUGUCAGGCCUAACCAUGGCAUUGAAGUGGGGGUCUAGGAGUGGAAGUCUG
rnacentral:lncRNA from 1 species